rnacentral:lncRNA from 1 species
AGGAUGAUAUGAAGCUUCAAAUUGAGAGUAUGAAGGUCAAACUGCGACAUAUAUUCUACAGUUGUGGCUAUGGACAACUUUUGGCCAGUCCGGUGUAUUCUACAAUUGAGGCAAUGGAGCACUUUUGACCAGUCUAGUGUAUUCUACUGUUGUGGCACUGGAGUAGUCAUUAUCCACAAAACCAGGUAUGUUGUUGUUACCAUGUAUCUAUGUGAACAUAAAUCGUGAGCACUGGAUAAUAGUAUUUAUGAUAUAUAUAUACAAUGUAUAUUUUUUCCAGUCUAUGCUAUGACAUUGUGAGCCGCAUCUAUUUUGUGCACAUUUUGCUUUGUACUUAAAAAAUCCCCCCUCCCUCUUUGCUGCUUGUCAUGCUCAGACACCGGCAGAUAGGACAAAUAAACCAUACACAAUACAUGUACAUAUGAGCUGAAAUACACUGGGCAUCCUAAAGCCAACAUGGAAAAAUAAUGAAACAACCUGAAAGAACGAAUGCAACAAAUGCAAAAGCAUAUAAUAAUGAAGGUCAGAAGGUCUAUGAAAAUUACCUAGCUGUUUUUUGUGGACAAGAAUCAGUUAUUUCUAGUUUCCUAAUUCUGGAGCUAUGUGUGAACAAGGCCAGAAGACUAAAAUAUCAAAAGCUAGCUAAGGACUCAUUAGCAGAUUUUUCUUGUGCUUGCUAUACGUCUCAACCGAACAAUAGGCAAAGGGCGUACUUAUGAACAGACAUAAGCAGACACCAUAUCAAUAGCUAACAGCAUCACACAACAACCCAAUCACACAUCAAGAUGGAUUGAUGGAAAUGGAAAGAUAAAGUAUGCUCUUGCAGUAGAACCAAGUGUAAUAAUGAUUAUAAGCACAUAUAUGUACAUUUGAAAAAAUAGAAGAUUAAGAAAGGGGAACAUGCAUAAAAAAACUUUCGAAAAGUAGUAGUAAUUUCACCUCUGCAAUAGAGAAAGUACAAUUAGUUGGCUUUUCCUAUUGAUGGCUAAUUGCCUGAAUAAAAAAUGAGCAGUAGGUAUAAUGAUGGUGUUAUUUUCUUGCGCAAGCACCAAAACUUCGCCGAGAAGGUAAAAUAUAUUGGGAGCAUUGUACCUUCAUUUUCCCUAUAAUCCUUGCCCUUGCUUCUAGACUAUAUGAUGGCAAUGCGAGCUAGCCAGCGUCUUCAUAUUAGUCCGUCCAAAAAGCACACCAAAAUUAACAGUUGGAUUGAUUGUAUUAUCUCUGAAAUGCCAUUAUCAAAAAUUUAGUUGACGCUUAAUAGUAAAUAGAAGUGCAGGGCUUGCUUAUCACACUUACUUAGGACUCAUGGGCCUUAUCUAAUUCCUCUCCAAAGCAAACCAUCUCUCUAUGCGAAAUAGGCAAUAGAUAUAAGCAAAAAAUGCUAUAUAGCAAAGAGUAUAUGACAAUCUAAACUGAAGUGCUGCUCACAAGAAACCGAAUAUGAUAACAUGUUAUUGCUCACUCUAAUAAUAUAUAAGGUGUUGGAAAGGAGGGGGUCUAUUUUAUUUAUACAGUUUAGUUUAGUGAUUGGUAAAAAAUAAGGGCAAGUCCAAACCAGACAUGCACGAGAGCCUCAAAUACGUCGAGUCACUUUGAUUAGAUAAUAAUGAGAAGAAAUGAAAAAUAGUGGCAAAUUCAGCAAAAGGGAAAACAAGUUUUGCAUCUACACAACAAUGAAGCAAGGUAAUGAGCUAAAUUAGUGGACCUAGCACAUAUCUGAUUCACUCUACACUUUACGCUUACAUAGCAUCAUAGUAAUCUCCACUCAUAGGAAACCAAACAAAUUGAAGAUUAAGAUUUGCAUAUGGUAAAUGAAGGAAUAAAGCCAUACGUGCAAGAGAAAUUCGUCGCAUCGUGUUGCAAAACCAGAAAAGUAAAACCAAACCCCCUCUCCCAGAGCCUCUUCCCUAUGAUAUUCUUAGACACCAUGGGAAUGAUGGGGUCAAAAGUUUGGAGCUAGCCUGGAGAGGGACACCAUGGCACAUUGAAAAGGAGAGGCUCUUUGUACAGCAAAACAGCUCAGUGCGCUCGGCAGGCAAGGUUGCGGAAGGAAGAGGAGUACAAAAUCAUGGCAUGUGCUCUACUACACAGAAAAAUCCAAAAAUGCAGGAACAGGCGUGACUGUGUUCAAGAGAGACAUAAUUCACCUUGGUCUUCUUGAUCAAAUUCUUCCUCAAAAUUCUUCUUAUAGUCUCGACAGGUAACUAAAAGUUGAGGAAUCAAAAUAAGAUUAUAAGAGAACCAGAGAAUCAAGUAGUACAAAUCGAGAGAAAAAAGAUGUGGACGUAGGUGGGUAGUCUAGAUUGGAAAGGAGUGGGAAGUGAAGGGGAGGAGGGGAGAAGCAAAGGUGGGAGGAGUGUUAUGCCUUCUACCUAUCAACGCGUGGCUGCAGAGGGUCGGUCGCCUACGCCCGACGCCCGCGUUGCCGUGGCCCUGUCCAGAUCGCAGAUCGAUCGAAGAAACCCGGGUGGCCGCCAUCUUCCCAACCCACGAGGCCCCCAAGCCUCUCCUGCCUGGAAGCGCUGCCAGUCUGGUCGAUGCCCCACAGGCCGCUGCAAAGAGAGCCAAUAGGGUUGUAAAUGAUGCCAGUGAAGUCUUAGUGCUACCAAGGGCUGCAAGCUAAUCGAACACAAGCUUAAACAAGAAAGACACUUGAAGAUUUAUACCCUGGUGUUCAUUAUAAACAGAAAAGGUUAGGUGACAACGCUCAAACCUUCAGGUUACAAUUUUCAUGUUUUCAAUUCAUUAUUAGCACAUAUCAUAACUACAAUUGCAGUAAUCUUUCCUUUGAUUUAAGAAUGAUGGUAGCUGACUAUUUGAGACCUUGUAGAGCAAUCAAACAAGAACAUAUUGCCUAUUUAAAAAGAAAUACACAUCCAACAAAUAAGAUGUCUGAAUCUAUCACAUUACCUAGCCAUCUCCAAACCAUCAUUCUCCUCAGGUUGGGAUCCUAUCGAACCAACCAAAUCAAUCAGCCUCCAUAAGUGGCCACUUCCACAAGCCCAGAAGAGCAAGAAAUAUUCCACAAUCAUGAGAUCACCAUAAUCAUUCAAUCAGACAACAUAAACAAGAGAGAGAGAUGGGGAUGGGUGGAACGCAACUUACAUGUCAGGGUGGAAGACAUGGCGUGCACUCGUGGUGGCGAGGAGGAGCUUUAGUAGGAGACCUGGAUGACGGUUGCCCAGGGUUCCCCAAGAAAGAUCGCCGCAGAAGGUACCCCUCCUUGCCACACCGUCUAGCAGUGAACACCAUGGAGGUCACAUGUUCCUCGAGAUCCCGCUGGCAACGAGCGCCAUCUUCUGAAUUUAAUCAAGGGAAAAUGCUGCAUCGAGAGAAAAAUAGUAAAUAAUCACAUCCUGAAGAAAAUCGAAUCAAGGAAGAGUGUGCUUGUCACAAAUGACUAAUAAAGAGAAAUAUAUUUCACCUAUGGCUUUAACCAUCGAUCUGGCCAUGGCGAUGCUGUCCAUGGAGAGAAGCACAUAGAAAGAGGGAUGAGAUGAUAGGGGCAUCGCUAUAGCCACCGCAAGAUCCUUGGUUUCCCCGAGGUCUACUAUGCCUUCCCUAGGGAGAAAGAGACCCAGCCAACAACUUGCAGCAAGAUUAGCACCUGCAAAUAAAAAUUGGAUGACCCUAUAAACCGCCUAGUCAAACCACAAAGGAGAAAAAUGGAAAAGAGAAAUCAGGGGGAAAGCAGAGCAAUGGGGAGGAGAGAGGGCAACACGAGACGUGGGGAUGCAGCCCGAAUGAGAGGAUGGCAUCUAGGGUUUUUACCUCCUGCUCUUAUCCCCUGGCCAGCCAGGGCUUUCAACAAGCUGCUUCCCACAACGCACACAACAUCUUCCCCAUUGUUGCUCCUUCCCCCCACCUCCGUUCCUCACCUCAACUGCACAGGCUGCAAACCGUCCUCCGCAACAUGGAGUGAUGCCCAACGAGGAGAGCGGCAGAGGCCGGUAUGGAAGGGGAAGAGGAGGGGUUCGUGGCAGGGGCGGGGAUGGAGGAAGGAAAGGGCGGCGGCGCGAUCUUCCCCGCGGCCGGCUGCACCCCAUUGCUACCGGAGCGCAGUCCCCGCCGCUCUUCUCUGGCACGGAUCCACCGCCCAUGUGCGCCUCCUUUGGUGGCGACGCCGAGAGAAAAGUGAAGGAGAGGAGGCGGCAGAGGGGAGAGGGGCUCGUGGGGCGAGGUGCGGAGGAAGCGGGGAGGCGGCUGCAGGAUUGGCUCGUGGGAUAGGGUUGCUUUUACCCAGAUCGCGAUUGGCGAGCACGCGAUGAAGACUCCGCGUACCAAAAGAUGAAGGAAACUUAGGUUGACUCCGUGGCCCCACGUCUAUUGAGCCCCACCUGCCAUCCUCUCCAGAAUCAGGAACGAAAGUGGAAAAAAACGGACGGCUGACCAGCCGCCAGUAGCCAAAAAACGAUCGUAGGAGAUCGAUCGGGUGGUCAAAACCGACGCGCGCUAGCGAUGCCCCCGGAUGGACGGGUACUCUAGGAGGAUUUAUAUGUUAGAUUUGGACAGGCAAGCCGCCCUUCAUCCUGAGCGUCACCGAAAGCACGUGCUCCGGCACGCCGCCGCUGCCAGCGUUCUUGCGGACGACGUCGACCGCGAAUUCUUCGAGCACACUCGCAGCGAUGGACUUCAUCUGCACGUAGGCCAUCUCCUUCCCGAGGCACGUCCUCGGCCCGGCAUGGAACACCGUGUACCGGAACGGGCUCUCAGGCCGGAACGCGCCAUCGUCGCCGAGCCACCGCUCCGGCUUGAACUCGGCGCAGUCCUUGCCCCAUAUGACCGCGAGCCGCCCCAUGGCGUACGCGCUGUACGUGAUGUUCCAGCCGGCCCCAAUGUGGGUGCCGUCGGGGAGCGUGUCGUCCGCCGCGCUCGACUGGGAGUCGAUAGGCACCGGCGGGUAGAGCCGCAUCGACUCGGUGAGCGCGGCGUGCAGGUACCGCAUGUCCCGGAGCGCGUCGAACGUGAACGGGUCGCCGGGGCGAGUGCCUGCCAUGGACCGGACCGAGCGGACCUCGUCGGCGAUGCGCGCCACGACGUCCGGCCGGGAGGACACGAGCCAGAAGAACCACGUGAGCGCCGAGGACGAGGUCUCGCGGCCGGCGAUCAGGAAACUGAGGACGAUGUCCCGGAGCGCCUCGUCGCCGUGCUCGUCGCUCGCCACGAACCUUGACAGGACGUCGUCUCUGUUUUCUUCCCCAGACGCACUUUGACGGCGGGAGCGGACGAUUUCCAUGGCGAACCCAUGGACGUCGGCGAUGGCCUUCUUCAGGCGGCGCUCUUUGCCGACGUUGAGCCAUUUCUUGACCUUCCAGGAGGCCGCGACGGGGUCGAGGAACCGGCUGACGAUGAGGUCCUGCGCCUCGCCGAACGCGCGCAUGAAGUCCGACUUCCCCUCCGUCAGGGCCCCGCCGUCGGCGAGGCAGCAUGGGUCGUGCCCGAACGAGACCAUGCAGAUGGUGUCGAACGCGAACCGCUCCAGCACGUCCUGCAUGUCGAGCACCACGCCGCCGGCCGCGGCGCGUCGCAGCAGCGGGAGCAGCCUGUUCCCGACCUCGGCCUGCACGGAGUCGAUGAGGAAACCGCGGAGCGAGCGCGUGGUGAACUCGAGGCUGGCGUUCUUGCGCUGCCACAGCCACUGCUCCCCGUCGGAGUUGAAGAGGCCGUGGCCGAGGAAGUCGACCAGCAUGGAGAUGGCGCGCUCGCCCUUGGGGUAGUUGGCGAAGUUGGUGCGGAGGAUGUGCUCGACGUCGGCCGGGUUGCUGGUGACGAUGCCGGUGGUCAUCCCGGGGAUCCAGAAGCCCAUCCUGAGGUCAGGGCUGGCGACGAUGAGCUCGGUGGACCACUCGAGGAAGCGGUCCCGGUUCUUGAGGAACGCCGGGAGGUGGCCGAGCAGCGGGUGCCUCCUGAGGCCGUGGGUGGUGGGCUUCUUCUUGGCGAGGCUCCUCGCGAUGUGGUAGGAGAUGUACAGCACGGGAGGAAGCAGGAUGAGUAACAGGGAAGAAGAAGAGGGGAACUCCAUUGAUUCUGACUUUGAUCUUGGCUUUGCUGUUGAACUGUGAAUAUUUUGAUGGACUGUCCUCUUGGUUUAUAUAUACGCGCCUUGCAGGCAGAUUCAAGUUGCACUGUCCAACCCAUACUCUAUACGUGAAGAGUUCUUUCGCUUUUAAAUAUGGUUCCAAAGAUGAGUCUGGCCAUGCCCCAUCAUCACACAUGGCAAGUUGUGAUGUGCUUGUCGUCCAAGUCAGGACCUUGCGAUGGAGGCAAAUGAGGUCAACUGUGACUCCGGAUUAGAAUAACAAAUGUGUCCUGUGUAAAUGAACGGAUGGGCUAGUUCAUAGUGGUGCUGUUUUUAAUUGCGCACCCUCACUUUCAGCAGCUCCUCCUGUGUCCUGCCCUGCUUCUUCCCCACGAAGAGCUGUUGCCUUUGUUGAGUUUCCUCACGGGUCGCCGCUGCCAAGGCUAUGAUGUUUCUUUGUAUGUUAAUCAUUUUAGCUACUUUGUAAUUCGCCUGAAAAUAAUAUUUGGAUCACUCUUUUUUGCUUAGGGUGGCAGCCGGCCCCAUUAUCUAUCUUNNNNNNNNNNNNNNNNNNNNNNNNNNNNNNNNNNNNNNNNNNNNNNNNNNNNNNNNNNNNNNNNNNNNNNNNNNNNNNNNNNNNNNNNNNNNNNNNNNNNNNNNNNNNNNNNNNNNNNNNNNNNNNNNNNNNNNNNNNNNNNNNNNNNNNNNNNNNNNNNNNNNNNNNNNNNNNNNNNNNNNNNNNNNNNNNNNNNNNNNNNNNNNNNNNNNNNNNNNNNNNNNNNNNNNNNNNNNNNNNNNNNNNNNNNNNNNNGGGGGUUUGUCAGAGAAAACUGAUCAUCGUCGAGGUUAGAGGAUGGGUGGCGAGGCUAGCGCGGGAGCGCCGCCGGCCGCUAGCGAUGGUGGCUGGGAGUUCGUGGGGCGAUUGGGAAGGAGAUGGACAUAAGGGUUGGAUGUUGAAGAAACUUAUCUGACCAUCCAUCUUGCAUCCAACGGCUCAUAACGAAUUGACUGGCCUAAAUUGGGUUUUCAGUCACCUGACACCUAGUCAGUCCAUAUGUUAAUAAGGCUAACGCUCAAUAAUUGAAAAUAAAAGUUAUUUAAAAUGAUAAUGUUUGUGUCUCUAUCUGAGAAGGGGAAUGCUUAGCGUCGGGCAACCAAUGCAAAUGUUAGAUAGGUCACCCUGUGGGCCAUCAAAUCGCUCAUUUUGGUUGUUGGAUCAUUAACCCACUCGCACAAUACACACACAAGAGGGAGGGACGGAGGGAGAGAACAUCCCAUGUGUUCAUAUCUCGUUCGGCACAACCCCCUCCUUCCCUGCCGGCUCGCCGCACAGGCACAUCAAAACUUCUUUCGCCACACUCCACCGUGUCCUUGUUGCAGCUUGGUUCGGAGCAUGGUUGUCGCCAACUACCCUUUGGAGGCUCGUCACAACUCGAGAUGUGCUGUUUCGAGCACGGGCGGUCGUGUCUUAGCAUUGUCGUCGCCGAUCGCCGAUGCAGCACCGUGUUCGCCACUUUUAUAGCCCGCAUUGUUGUAGGCCUAGAGCUUGCAACACCGCACUUCGGUCCAAGAUCCGGGUGGUUGCACCAUGCCACAAUACCGAUCCCAGGAUCAUCGUGCGUCAUUCUCAACAAAUCACCCCUGACGUCGCAGUAGAACGCCUUUCCGGCUCCAGCAACUUGCCUCGCCCGGUCACAACAUGUGGCCUCGCCGUUCCCAGCUUUGGGUGUGAGCGAGUGCAACACCCUGCAGCGUCGAUCCCAGCAUCACUGCGCGUUGUCCCCAACAAAUCUCCCCCAUUGGUUGCUGCAAAACGCCUCAUCGGUCCCAGCAAAUUGCGCCACUGUCUACGGCAGAAAACCUCGCAUGUCCUAACUCUGGUGCGGGCAGUUGCACCACCCUGCAGCACUGAUCCCAUCAUUGCCACACAUGGUCCCAACAAAUCGCCCCAGCAGGUUGAAGUAGAACGCCUCAUUGGUCCUAGCAAAUCACUCGACCAGUCGCAGCAAAAUGCCCUGUCGGUCGCAACAUCGGGUCGUCGUCUCCAACGCUAGGAUGGUCCUUGUAGCAGUGUUGUCGAUCUGGCUUACAUCGGUUCUGCUCGCAGCACGGCGAUCGCCCUCCCUCGCAAUGUAGUUGAUCCGGCUUAAGUCGGUUCAGCUUGCAGCCCAACGGACGCCCUCCCUCGCAACGCCGUCGAUCUAGCUUAAGUCGGUUUGGCUUGCAGCACGACAGCCGCCUCCCUCAUAGUGAUGAUAACCCUCUUUGCAGCAUCGCCGACGACCCCACCCGCACCUCAUCCCGCGUGGCUGUGACACUAGCGCACGUUCAUGUGCAUGCACUGGUUGGCGUUCACGUAGGUUGCUCUGCGUGGAGGGACGGAAUGCUGGAACGGGAGGGCAUGAGUGAAACCGAGGAAGAGGAUCUUUGGCCGUGCGUGACUAGAUCAAGGAGGUGCCAUCGGCAGUGGUGCGUGAGCUGCAUGAAUACGACAGUGGGGAAUUUAAUCGUUGUGUGUGGGAUUGAUCUCAUCGAAGAAGGAAAAAGGGGAUGAGGAGUUGAGAAAGCGGUGGCAGGGACCAUGAGGCGGGUGCGUACACGCAUGAGAGCACUCGUACAUCGAGGUGCUAUACAAAUGGUUUUUAACCCCUUACCGCGACGGCGUUUCGAACUGUCGCCAAGUGAGUGACUGUGAUAGGGGGUUCCUUCCCACACGACCCAGAAACUGUCGGGGAUAGGCCCUCCUGGCACACACGCUUGGCAAAAUGAGGUCGUGUGUGUCGGACGAGUGAUCAAAUACGGUUAUACGUACAAUUAUGCUAAAAAAAUACAAUUAUACAGGCCAAAUCAUUUUCGGUCGUAAGUACAUCCGUUAUUGAAUGCAUCACACACGGUGUGUAGAAGAAACUAUAUGGGAAAGGUUGUCCAUCGCACACAGUUUUUAUGUGGUAAACGUUUGCGCCAGGUGACCUAACGCAAACAGUUUUCAAGAGGAUGACGUGUGUGAUUGUUCAUAAAUCCAACAUGGUUUAUUCCUAGAAAUUGCGUGCGUUCCCGAGGUCAUCGCCCAUGGUGUUUUCUCAAUAAUCGUUUGCAAUAGAAAAACCCAAUUAGCAUGCUAAUUGGCCAUUUGCAGGCUAAUUGUAAUAUUAUUAAUAAUCCAUUUAUUAAUUUAAUUGAAAUUUUGUAUUAAGCACACAAUAUAUUUCAUUUUCAUAUUAAGGAAGCAGGAUUUCAUAAUUGAAAUACAUUAGAGUACAACAUCAUAUAGCUUCAGCACUUAGCUACCCUAUUACACAACUGUACCAGCACCAUGUUUCACAUGCAACAUCUAUAACCUUUCAAAAUUAGCAUCAUAGACGGUACAUAGACAGAUGAAUCUCAUCUGGAAAACUGCUAAAGCGAAAGGCGAAUAUUGAGCCUUCAUUGAUGUUGAAGGUCUUUGCAACUUUAUGCCGGUGCAUGUGGAUGAUUGACCGUCCAUCCUUCGUCUUCUUCAGAAACACUUCAAUAUUGAACUGUGGGUGUUUUAUGAAUACCUUCCCAUACAGGUUGAGAGGUAAUCAUCAGUGAACUGCUUUGGAAAGGCCUGAAAACAAGGAUGUGCAUAAAUAUCUUCUCUAUAUUGGAAAUGGGACAAAGGAAUAAAAAAGGCAAGGUAUAAUAGUUAGUACCAUAGUGUAGUGAAUUGAUGUCUUGUUCAUUGUGCAGACAAAGAUCUUAUUGUUUUCAUCGCUAAU